GUGUGUCUGUGUGUGUGUGUGUGUGUGUGUGUGUGUGUGUGUGUGUGUGUGUGUGUGUGUGUGUGUGUGUGUGUGUGUGUGUGUGUGUGUGUGUGUGUGUGUGUGUGUGUGUGUGUGUGUGUGUGUGUGUGUGUGUGUGUGUGUGUGUGUAUGUGUAUGUGUGUGUGUGGUUUUGUGUGUGUGUGUGUGUGUAUGUGACAGUAACACACAACUCACACACACACACACACGCACAGAGUUCAGCCGAUUUAUCAUAAUAUGCUUUAUCUGAAAAGUAAGUAUCUUACCUCGGGAUAAAGGGAGCAAAGAGCGGUGUGUGGCCAGAUUGACAACGGAAGGGCGAUCGGAGAGAACCACUCAUUUGGUACGGAGGGACAGAGAGAGAUAGAGAAAGAGGGGACCGGGACAUCCCACCAUGGCCGGACCAUCACUAUCGAUCAGGUGGUCACCCACAGACCUACUCUUCUGGAAUCUUUGAAUAUUCUGGACGAGCGGACUACACUGAUCCACCUCAACUGCUCUUAUUCUCCUAUCUUCUGUUGGCUUUGUUUUAAAUAUGAUUGAGCCAUUGAUAUAUUGAUAUCAUAUGUGGUUUCAGUUCUUAUACAAAUAGGCUUCUUACUUGAAAUACCUAAAAGCUACAAUAUUGUUUUCUGGCUCACGUGCGAGUAACAGUCCAUGCCUUUGAUAUAUUUAUAGUAAAUAUAUAUAUAUAUAUAUAUAUAUAUAUAUAUAUAUAUAUAUAUAUAUAGAUGAGCCACCUUUGCUCUAAAUAUAUAUUCCUAAAAUAUAUUCAUUAGCCAUGGCAAGGCCGAGGCAGACAAACCAAGACAAAUCUUUUCUUUUUAAUUUUACGAAUUUUCAUUAACCCUUUUUCAAACAAACAUGUGUAUCUUCCCUGUACUUCUGUUAGCUACCUUUCAAUAAAAUCAUUACGAUCCCCUGAGCUCAUCCUCCCUGAGCAGGUGGCCUCGCGGGGCUCCCGGCCCCCACAGAACGACCAGGUGGUAAGCAGGUCCAGUGGCCAUGGGGUGAACUGCACUGAGGCCAAGACAUCAAGAGGGAGACUUAAAGUAAGAGGCCUAUCAGCGGCCUAUCACUGCAACUUAGCGCAGCAGGCCCGCUAGUCGCUUUAAAAGAGACUCGGGAGCAGUUUGAUGCUGUUGUCGAAUCAACCCUGAAAGCUCCUCAGGUGAGGAUGGAGAGGUGGAUAGCUCAGGAUUUGUAAUGAUGACCCAAAGCACGUUCCUGUGUACCUUAUCUUACUUAUCUAAGAGGAUGAUGCUGAGCAUGGAGGCAUGCAGCACAGACCUCUUGUUCAUCUUCAUUGCUUCUAAUUAUAUACCACAGUAAGAGGCUGUAUUUCCAAUAUGCUAUUAUCAUCUCUUAAUUCAUCUCUGGACUUACAUAGGAUUUAGGACUAAUUAUUUUAUUUAAAGGUAAAGGUCCUGAUUGGCUAGCAUGCACAAUGCAUUAGUAUCCGGCAGGUAGGCCUAAGUGAAUAUAUUUUAGUGUUCAUCAUGCCUUAUUGUUCUGUCUCUGUUGUUGUCUUUGUCAUUAUGAAGAUGAAUGAAUAAAUAAAAAAACAAAGAUGCAACAAAGAACAGUGUUUCCUUUCAGUCCACUAUAUUUCUG
ensembl:lncRNA